GUAGUUGUAGCUAGAGGAGGCUUUGGUGAUGUUGUUGACAGAAGAUAGAGAGCACAGAUGAUGAUUUGCAUAUGGAGUUUGCAUCUCACUCCUUUGUGCUCUCUAUGCUUCUGUCAUCCACUUCAGCCCCUCUCCUUCUCGUAUUCUUUACUUUCUUUUUAUCAUCAUAAUAACAUGUGUGUGUGUGUAUUUAUUUGUUCAACUGAUGCUUAAACUAUGUCCAUGUAUUUUGCAUUGUAGGGCAGCAAAGUGGGUCUAAGUGCCUUUAUGAAGAGUGAUUGCAACAUUUCCACACAUUACCAUUAACUUUUGUGUUUGUUUUAACGAUCUUGCAGUCUGAAUUGGGAAGCCAGAUGGGGAUCUGAUUUGUAACACUGGUGAUAUCAGAAAGCUGUAAUCUACCACUCUGCAACCAUGUCUAUGCGGCUAAUCUGGAAGGUUUCAGAUAAGCUUAAUGUGCUUUAGAGAGGAUUAAGGAGAUAAGAUCAGUCUCCGCAUUUAGGCGAAUCUAAACAAAGGUUAGUGUCUAAUAAUUGAAGCUCCUUGAUCUUAAUUACAUUAAGCCGAGAGCUUUCCUUGAUGAUGAAGAGGGCAGACAGAAUUUUGACAACAUUCUGAUGCCUAUACGAUUAAAGUGAUUCCUGAAAGAGGUAUGGGUAGGUACCACUUGCUUUAUCUACAAGAGCCAUUUUGGAUACUGGUGUUUAUGGACAAACCAACUCAUAUGGCCAAGUAGCCCUGAUCAUCUCUCUUCAUCAAGAUUCCUUUUAGAUUGUUGUCAAUGAGUAGUUUGAGUAACAAAGGGUAGAAGACCCAUAUAGGUUCAAAAACAGUGCUGAUCAUAUGGUGAGGUCGGCACAAUUAGAUCUAAAAGAUAACUUUCAAUUAGAUGUGAAGAAAAUAGUCCAUGAGGGUUCCUUUGCAACACUGAGAUGAGACCAUCUCUUUAAUUUCCUUGGAAGAAAUCUAAGAUAACUUUCAAUUACUGUUUUAACUUUAAUUAGCAUGGCAACUAGUUUGGAUAGUUAGUUUGCCAUUUUGGAUACACAAGGGUCCACUCAAGCGAGGGUUUAUCAUCAUCAUUAAUUAAUUGUUAUAAAUCUUUUGAUAAGAGGUGGAGUGUAUAUAUGUUAAUAUUAAACAAGUAUUCAAUCUUUUAUACUCACUAAUGUUGGUCAA